GUUUACAAGGAUAGUGACCCAAACUUCACCCUUUGUCUAAGCAAACUAAGACCCCCUUUCUCUGAGUGUGUGUCUGUCUUAUUUCUCACCCCCCAUUCAUUUUUACCUACCAUGAACUUCAUCUACACCCUCUUUUCAUCAUGGGAUGGCUUCAAUCCCUCUUCUCUCCAUUGAAGAAGCUUUGGUUUCGUCUUCACUCUACUCCCAAGAAGAGAAGAGGGAUAUAUAUACUCUACGAGGAUGUUAAAUCUUGCCCUUGUGAAGAUGUUCAAGUGCUUUGGUCCAUACUAGUGGAGUCUCAUCCACAUUCUUUGCCACCACGAAAAUGAGGGUCUUUACCUAAGCACACACAAAAAAAGAGGGGAGAUUUAAUUUACAGUCACAUGUACAUAUAUCACACCACUUUUGUCCCAACAUAGGUUUUCUUUUUCUUUUCUUCUAUUUCUUUGGUUUAAGUUUUCAAUCUUUUGUGAGUGAGGUCCAUCCGAAAAGUCUCUAAAUUAUUGAAACUUAUCUCUCUCUCUUGUUUUGAGUUGUACAUUCUUCAAAAUGUGGUAAAUAUAUAUAAG